rnacentral:rRNA from 1 species
CCUACGGGAGGCAGCAGUGAGGAAUAUUGGUCAAUGGACGCGAGUCUGAACCAGCCAAGUAGCGUGAAGGAUGACUGCCCUACGGGUUGUAAACUUCUUUUAUAUGGGAAUAAAAUGUUCCACGUGUGGGAUUUUGUAUGUACUAUAUGAAUAAGGAUCGGCUAACUCCGUGCCAGCAGCCGCGGUAAUACGGAGGAUCCGAGCGUUAUCCGGAUUUAUUGGGUUUAAAGGGAGCGUAGGUGGAUUGUUAAGUCAGUUGUGAAAGUUUGCGGCUCAACCCUAAAAUUGCAGUUGAAACUGGCAGUCUUGAGUACAGUAGAGGUAGGCGGAAUUCGUGGUGUAGCGGUGAAAUGCUUAGAUAUCACGAAGAACUCCGAUUGCGAAGGCAGCUUACUGAACUGCAACUGACACUGAGGCUCGAAAGUGUGGGUAUCAAACAGGAUUAGAUACCCGUGUAGUC